AUGAACGCUGGCGGCGCGCCUAACACAUGCAAGUCGAACGAGCGAGAGAGAGCUUGCUUUCUCGAGCGAGUGGCGAACGGGUGAGUAACGCGUGAGGAACCUGCCUCAAAGAGGGGGACAACAGUUGGAAACGGCUGCUAAUACCGCAUAAGCCCACGACCCGGCAUCGGGUUGAGGGAAAAGGAGCAAUCCGCUUUGAGAUGGCCUUGGGUCCGAUUAGCUAGUUGGUGGGGUAAUGGCCCACCAAGGCGACGAUCGGUGGCCGGACCGAGAGGUUGAACGGCCACAUUGGGACUGAAACACGGCCCAGACUCCUACGGGAGGCAGCAGUGGGGAAUAUUGCACAAUGGGGGAAACCCUGAUGCGGCGACGCCGCGUGGAGGAAGAAGGUCUUCGGAUUGUAAACUCCUGUUGUUGAGGAAGAUAAUGACGGUACUCAACAAGGAAGUGACGGCUAACUACGUGCCAGCAGCCGCAGUAA
rnacentral:rRNA from 1 species